rnacentral:snRNA from 1 species
AGUUGUGAGGCCAUGUGGCUGCGAGAUCUGUCACCCACUGAUCGCCAGGGUUGAUUGGCUGAUCUGGCUGGCUAGGCGGGUGUUCCCUUCCUCCCUCAUCGCUCCACGUGUGUCCCUCCCCGAAACUGCUGUGGCUGGGGACCACCACCAGAUAGAGGAGGAGGUUUCCACAGUCACAGGUAUACGCACCAGUAGCUGAGCUCCCCUGCUGAAAUCUCCAAUCAAGCUCUCAAGGAUCCAGAUUGAAAUGACGGCCAGGGAGAAGCACACCCCCUUGCGUGGCAUGGCCAGCCGCUUUUC